GGAUAUAAUAGAGAACUGACUGUGACAUCUGUCACCCCACUGAUCACUAGGAUUCAUUUGGCUGAUUUGGCUGGCUAGGUAGGUGUCCCCUUCCUCCCUAACUGUGCUACGUGGUUCCUCUCAAACCUGCACACUCACUGGAAGAAGAUGAGCACUCCUGAUAGAGGAGAACCAUUUCCUCAGUCAAGAGAUACAAGUAACUGCAUUCCCUUCCUAGACUUCCAAACAAGCUCCCAAGGGUUCUUCAUUUUUGAAGAGAUUUCUGAGUCAUUUUCCACAGUCACUGAGAAUCCAUUAAGU
ensembl:misc_RNA 7SK 7SK RNA